rnacentral:rRNA from 1 species
GGCGGACGGGUGAGUAAUGUCUGGGAAACUGCCUGAUGGAGGGGGGAGUAGCUACUGGAAACGGUAGCUAAUACCGCAUAACGUCGCAAGACCAAAGAGGGGGACCCUCGGGCCUCUUGCCAUCGGAUGUGCCCAGAUGGGAUUAGCUUGUUGGUGGGGUAACGGCUCACCAAGGCGACGAUCCCUAGCUGGUCUGAGAGGAUGACCAGCCACACUGGAACUGAGACACGGUCCAGACUCCUACGGGAGCAGCAUG